CGGACAAGCAAACAGCGGAUGUGCAGUUCCUCUCUUCGCCGAACCCGGUUUUCCCUUUCGGAGCAGCGCGACCGAUUUCCGGUUUCCCCGCCGCAACCACCGUUACCCCCCCCCCGCCCCAAUCCCCGGCGACUCCAGCGACGUCACCGGUUCAGCUCCUGACCUUUCGGCGAACCGCAGAACCACAGGCGACCCGUUCGACGUCAUCACUCCCCGCCCAGAUGUCGCUGUGACAUCACCCCGCACGUGCCUGCGCUGGCACCGCGUCGUCCUGGCGAGCGCCUCCUCGCGGCGGAAGGAGAUCCUGGGGUUCGCUGUGCGAGACAUGUCGGCGGGGUUUCACGUGACCUCACUGACCCCGCCCCUGACUCCACCCCUUGUGAUGACCCCACCACUGACCCACAGGCCUUGGAGGGGCUGAUCCUGGAGAAGUCAAAGGACCAGGAGGACGCCAUGGGGGGUGCUGUACAGGCUGAGCAGGAAGCAGAGCAGCACAGCGUCAUCAUGAGGGUAGCCAUCUUCACCUGGGGCAUCCACGGAGGCCCUGCCCAGGAAGUGACUUUCUCUCUACUGUAGGAGGAGCUGAUCCACGACUACUUGGACAACAGCACACCAGCGAAGGAUGGUGAGGCCCUGCCCCCUGCCUGCACAUGACACUGCCCACGCCCUGUCUGAGACUCUACCAAGUGGUUCUGGGAUAAUAGAUUGAGGGGAUGGGGGCUGCAUACAUUUGCAUGAUUUUGCAUAUUUUGGGCUCAUUUGAAUAAAUUUGUAUAAGUUAACACCAGUUCUCUCAGGACAAAUUUGCAUAGAUUUGUGUGUGACGUCUUGGGCAAAUUAGCAUAAACCAAAAUGAUGUCAUAGUUGUGCUCUGCAUGCGUUUUUUGUGGGUUUUGCAUGAAUUUGCAUACAUCAGCUUCUUUGAAGUAGGUUUGCAUGAGCUGAGGUGACUUUGGUGGCUUCCUCUGUGAAUUUGCAUAAAUUUGCAUAAACCUGAAUGAUAACACA
rnacentral:lncRNA from 1 species